GUUACAUUGGCAGAAUUAGUGCAGUAAAUUUAGAAUUUAUAAAUAUGAGUAUUUUAUUCAUAUGUAAUA
rnacentral:tRNA from 1 species